rnacentral:tRNA from 1 species
GGGGGAAUAGUCUAGUCUGGCAGGAUUCAGCGUUCGGGACGCUGCGGCGGGAGUUCAAAUCUCCCUUCCCCCA